rnacentral:rRNA from 1 species
UUGGAGGGCAAGUCUGGUGCCAGCAGCCGCGGUAAUUCCAGCUCCAAUAGCGUAUAUUAAAGUUGUUGCAGUUAAAAAGCUCGUAGUUGAAUUUCGGAAUCUGUCCAUCGGUCGGGCUUCACUGUUCGUACUGGUGUGGUGGGUUCUUACCUUCUGAAUAACCAGCAUGCCAUUAAUUUGGUGCGUUGGGGAAGCAGGACUAUUACCUUGAAAAAAUUAGAGUGCUCAAAGCAGGCCAGUGCCUGAAUACAUUAGCAUGGAAUAAUAAAAUAGGACGGCAUGGUUCUAUUUUGUUGGUUUCUAGGAUUACCGUAAUGAUUAAUAGGGAUAGUUGGGGGCAUUAGUAUUCAAUUGUCAGAGGUGAAAUUCUUGGAUUUAUUGAAGACUAACUUCUGCGAAAGCAUUUGCCAAGGAUGUUUUCAUUAAUCAAGAACGAAAGUUAGGGGAUCGAAGACGAUCAGAUACCGUCGUAGUCUUAACCAUGAACUAUGCCGACUAGGGAUCGGACGAUGUUAAUUUUUUAAUGACUCGUUCGGCGCCUUACGGGAAAC